rnacentral:misc_RNA from 1 species
GUGAAGGCAUGUCUAUCCUGUCUAAAAUCUCUUCCCACUUCUGAACAAGGUUGUUUCUUUCCAUCAAGGAUUGUUCAAGCAUCUCAUUUUGUUCUGCCAACCCAUAAAACUUGCCCUGGAGCUCCUCAAAUCUUAUUUUAAGGUCUUCGGGAGAACCCAUGUUUGGCUGUGGCGCCUCUUUCCAUCCGUCACCAAGAGCAUAUCCUGCAUCAGAG